UACCACAUCAUUUGAGAAGAACGGUUUUGCGUUCACAAGCUCCUUGAUGUAGGUCCAUAAUGCUGCCCAUUUAAAAAAGAUGACUGAUGGAGAGCGAAAGGAAGAAGAGGAAAUACUCGACCAGCAGUAAUGACUCUGACACCACUGACAGUCAGGUGAUGUCUUGGUCCAGUUCAUCCAAGAACACGGGCACCAACAGCACCUGGGUCCGCCUCCAGCACAAGAAGCCAUCAGAGGUGAGGUUCCCUCUUCGUUUCUGAAUCAUGCCAAGGUUAACCUUGGAAAAUAAUUUCAGAAAGCUGCUAUUGAGCCACGAACAAAAACCUGCAAAUUUCUCUCAAGGUUACUCAACUUUUCACUUACUUUAUAAAAC
ensembl:lncRNA